AACGCACAUUGCGCCCCUUGGUAUUCCGAGGGGCAUGCCUGUUCGAGCGUCAUUACACCACUCAAGCAUAGCUUGGUAUUGGGCAACCGCCCCCGCCAGUCGGGGACGCGCCUCAAACACCUCGGCGGAGCCUCACCGGCUUUGGGCGUAGUAGAAUUUCUAAUAACGUCCUUUAACGGAGAUGGUUCCUUUGCCGAUAGAAGCCUUUAUUUUUCUAGGUUGACCUCGGAUCAGGUAGGGAUACCCGCUGAACUUAA
rnacentral:misc_RNA from 1 species